UACGUAGGGUGCAAGCGUUGUCCGGAAUUAUUGGGCGUAAAGAGCUCGUAGGCGGUUUGUCGCGUCUGCUGUGAAAACUCGGGGCUUAACUCCGGGCCUGCAGUGGGUACGGGCAGACUAGAGUGCGGUAGGGGAGACUGAAAUUCCUGGUGUAGCGGUGAAAUGCGCAGAUAUCAGGAGGAACACCGGUGGCGAAGGCGGGUCUCUGGGCCGUAACUGACGCUGAGGAGCGAAAGCGUGGGGAGCGAACAGG
rnacentral:rRNA from 1 species